AUGACAGUGGUUUCGUCAGUUUCAUGAGGAGAAACAGCGAAGCACGAACUGCUGGGCAACAAGAGUCACGCUGAAUGUAUAUUAGCGUUGCCAUAGUGAUAAUAAGAUCACUGUACAGGUGUGCGAUGGACCAAUGAGGACGUCACUGAUGCUUGGCUGCGCUGUCCUGUGCCUCAGUCGCUGCUGUCUGCUUUAGCUAUGAAUAUGUAGCCAGUAGUCUCCUGUGCUCCCUCUUUAGUUUUCUCUCCCAAGCGCGAUGGGUGGACAGGCAAGUUGGGCGCGCCUAUAUACGCACAGUAGUUGUUUGAUUGUUGAGACACAUCAGGUGAGGGCCACGUGCCACUUGCUGUAUUCUGGCGGGAGCAGACAUGGCCUGGCAGAUUAGACUGGUUUAUUUAUUUCAUUCCUUUGGCACCGUUCUCCGUCUACGUUAGCGGUUGGUUGGGUCCUUCUAGUCAAUGUUAUUUCAUAGCCAGUGGUUAGUCGACUCUUGCCUUCUAACUCAUUCUAAGUUUGGCUCAUUGCAUCACAGUUUUUGCUCUUUUGAUGUAAACAUUAUUCAUCAAUCAUACACUUUUUGCAAGUGGGAAGAAAAGUAAAGAAAAAAGCACUGAAGACUGAAAUCUCAA